rnacentral:rRNA from 1 species
GGGCAAUGAGUACGAGUCUCACGGCCCGACCUCCAACCCUUUGUUGUUAAAACACCCUUGUUGCUUUGGCGUGGACCGCCGCUGUAAAAAGCGGCUGCCGGUCUUAGGCCCGGCAUGCGCCCGCCAGAGGUAAUACAAACUCUUGUCUUUAACCAGUCGUCUGAGUUAUAAUUUAAAUAAAUUAAAACUUUCAACAACGGAUCUCUUGGUUCUGGCAUCGAUGAAGAACGCAGCGAAAUGCGAUAAGUAAUGUGAAUUGCAGAAUUCAGUGAAUCAUCGAAUCUUUGAACGCACAUUGCGCCCCUUGGUAUUCCGAGGGGCAUGCCUGUUCGAGCGUCAUUACACCACUCAAGCUCUGCUUGGUAUUAGGCGUCCGUCUGUCUGAAAAGGCAGGCGCGCCCCAAAACCUUCGGCGAAGUCUUACCGACUUUGGGCGCAGUAGAAUUUCUAACAACGCUCUUUGGGUCGGUACGGUCUUUUGCCGCUAAAUUGAAUUUAUUCAUUUUUCUUAGGUUGACCUCGGAUCAGGUAGGGAUACCCGCUGAACUUAAGCAUAUCACACAGGAGAGAGAG